AUAUAUUCAAAGGUUGAGUGUGUCAAUAACCAUUACAACAAUAAGAGUAGUUCAUAUAGAAAUGGCAAAUUAAAAAAAAAAGAUACAAUUAUUCACUUAAACAAAUGUUUCUAUGUCAAUCUUCCUAGCUUCAAGCCUAACUGAACCAGGCAAUUGGUUGUUCAUUUUCCUCUCACAAUUGUAAGCAUUGUAUGCUGAUUCGGCAUCCAACAAUGAUCUGUAAGAUUGGAAUGAAUCAAAUACAUAUUAGCAGCAUAAAGAGAAAAAGAAAAGGAUGGAUUCUAUUUUUCAAGGAUAAAAAUCAAAUACAAGUCACGUUUGGUUUGAUUUUAGAGGAGGGUUAAUGAAGCAAUAUAUGCUUUAUAGAAAAUAAAGAACCUUAGAAUGAAGCUGCAAUUACUGGAUUAACAGAAGAAAAUUAGGGAAUUCUAUGUGGUAAAGAACUUAACAAUGCAGCUAAGACCAAAAACAAUUGCCUCAACUAAAGAAUUCACAGAAACGUGUGAUAUAUCAAACUACCCAGAAUAUGUUUGAAGAACAACUUGAAAAUCUUAAUACACACCAUAUAUGCAAACUUUAAAUACCAAAAAAAAAAAUGAGUGCCAGCAGACGUAAACAUUAUAUAAGCAAAAACAUAAUUAUAACCAAACCAUAAGCUUUCAACAUUUCACAAAAUAUCACACUUCAAAUAACUUAUUUCUAGUAAUUUUCAAAUAUAAAAAAAAACAAAUACUUUUCUAAUCGAAGUAUUGUUGUGAAAAUUUUAAUAUACUCGCAAGCGCACGAAUCUAGAAAUAGAAUAGUGGUAACGAGGUCAAUCCCACAGGGAUUGUUAUAAAUUAAAAAGUCUAAUUUAAAUCUAAAAUUAAUAUUAAUUAUAACCUAGUUGAGCAAAUUGAGUUUUUAAGAAAAUUAAACCAAUUAAACUAAGGAAGCAAUUAAAAUAAAGGAGAAUUCAAUAAGAUAAGAAUUACCAAGGUUUCAGAAUCCACCACUAUUCAACUAGUAAUUAUCUAAUUAUUAAUUAAUCCCCAAUUUUAGAGUGACAACUCGAAAUCAAUCUAUGUCAUCUCAUGGAUAUAACAAUUAAGCCCAAGUAAUUAAAUCUAAUGUAGGUUCUUUUUCUGCUUAAUAAUAUGACAUCUAAGAAUCUCAUGUAAACAUAUUGAAUAACAAAGAGUCAAAGUUUCCUAAGCACUCCAUGUAAACAAUUUAAUGAAAGACAUAAAAUCAAAGAUAAUCAUGUAUAAACUUUAUAGAUCCAAGCAUAGAAUUAAUCGAAUAUUAAUCCUAACAAUCAAUAAUGCAUGACAGAAUUGAUGAAAAGAUUUUAUUAACAUCCAAUUAAUCAUGUGAAAUAAAAACCAUAAUCAUCAAAGAACAUAUAUAGGGAAUUAAUUAAAUAAAAAGAUAAUUAUUUCAUUGAAUAGGGUUUCAUCCUUAACCUCAGUAUAAGAAAAUUUGUUAGACAUACUUGAAUUGGGAGCAACAAAAUAAAUAAAUUCAGCCAUGGGGAAGCCGAAUUGCUGCAGAUUUUCUUCUCUGUCUUGAAUCCUUGCGUCUCCAGUUCUCUCUCCUCCCGUGGCCCUCUUGCCUUUAUAUAAUGUUACUGACUUGUUUAAUCCUUAUUGGAUUCUAAUUGCAUUAAUUCUUCUCCACCGACUUAUAAAGCCCACUCACCAAGGCCUUUUAAAAUUAUUUCCUUACUAAACUUUGAAAGCAAAGCACGCGUUUGACCACAAAAGCAAAAGGCCAAUUAAUGAUUUCUUCUUUUAAUGCCCAGCACAUGCAUUCCAAAUUGCCAAAUCUUUGCUUUCCAAAUGCAUGCCCACCGUUCAUCCUUUGAAGAGAUUGACUUCCAAUUUUGGUCUUCUUGACUUCCAUUAAUUCUUGGUUGCAUUUUUGUCUUCCAAUUUAAUCUUUAUUCCUUCUCA
rnacentral:lncRNA from 1 species